UGGGGAAUAUUGCACAAUGGGGGAAACCCUGAUGCAGCGACGCCGCGUGAGCGAAGAAGGUUUUCGAAUCGUAAAGCUCUGUCCUAUGAGAAGAUAAUGACGGUACCCUGUGAGGAAGCCCCGGCUAACUACGUGCCAGCAGCCGCGGUAAUACGUAGGGGGCUAGCGUUAUCCGGAUUUACUGGGCGUAAAGGGUGCGUAGGUGGUCUUUCAAGUCGGUGGUUAAAGGCUACGGCUCAACCGUAGUUAGCCUCCGAAACUGGAAGACUUGAGUGCAGGAGAGGAAAGUGGAAUUCCCAGUGUAGCGGUGAAAUGCGUAGAUAUUGGGAGGAACACCAGUAGCGAAGGCGGCUUUCUGGACUGCAACUGACACUGAGGCACGAAAGCGUGGGUAGCAAACAGG
rnacentral:rRNA from 1 species